rnacentral:snRNA from 1 species
AUGCUCGCUUUGGCAGCACAUAUACUAAAACUGGAAUGAUACAGAGAAAAUUUGCAUGGACACUGAGCAAGGAUGACAGGCAAAUGUGUGAAGCAUUCCAUAUUUAA